ACUGAUGAUGUGGAGAGUUCUUAAAAAGAUCUUUGAAUCUCUCUCAUGCAUGAUAUAAGUUCUCAUCUAUCCUGUGUUUGAAUCUCACAAUCUCAUUGAACAUU
rfam:Capsicum annuum cultivar Zunla-1 chromosome 8, whole genome shotgun sequence